rnacentral:siRNA from 1 species
GUAAUGGAUACUCCGAGCCGUCGC